rnacentral:tRNA from 1 species
UCCCUGGUGGUCCAGUGGUUAACACUCCACACUUCCAAUGCUGGGGGUCCUGGGUUCGAUCCCUGGUCAGGGAA